rnacentral:rRNA from 1 species
GAUGAACGCUAGCGGCAGGCUUAAUACAUGCAAGUCGUGGGGCAGCAUGAGUGUAGCAAUACAUUUGAUGGCGACCGGCAAACGGGUGCGGAACACGUACUGAACCUUCCUUUAAGUGGGGAAUAGCCCAGAGAAAUUUGGAUUAAUACCCCGUAACAUAUAGAAGUGGCAUCACUUUUAUAUUAUAGCUCCGGCGCUUAAAGAUGGCAGUGCGGCUGAUUAGGUAGUUGGCGGGGUAACGGCCCACCAAGCCUGCGAUCAGUAACCGGUGUGAGAGCACGACCAGACACACGGGCACUGAGACACGGGCCCGACUCCUACGGGAGGCAGCAGUAAGGAAUAUUGGUCAAUGGACGCAAGUCUGAACCAGCCAUGCCGCGUGGAGGAUGAAGGUCCUCUGGAUUGUAAACUUCUUUUAUCUGGGAGGAAAUCCAUGGUUUCUACUAUGGUUGACGGUACCAGAUGAAUAAGCACCGGCUAACUCCGUGCCAGCAGCCGCCGUAAGAC